AUGGGAUCGGCCUCCUCUAUCUCUACGCAAGAGAAGAAGAAGACUAGUUCGGGGUCUUCUCUUUCUCUUUUCUUUGCCCCCAAGUGGAUUCCAAUAAUUUAUGGUUGCGUAUUCGUACUAAGAGUCGUCGCCGUCGUUGUUGCCCAUUUCAGUGGAGAAGCAAUGGCAGCAGGAAUAGAUCCGCUAGUGGCGCUCUGGAAAGAGUGGGGAAUCCAGGUGCUGGUGCUGCUCAGUUUAGCACUCCAGGUGAUUCUCCUCGUCACGGCGGAGAUCCGCCGUCGCAAAGACUCGGGCGUGCUGAGGGUCAUUGUGUGGUUGGCGUAUCUACUGGCCGACACAACGGCCAUAUACACUCUGGGCCAUAUGUCGGUGACCAGCAGGUCGCCGGAGCAAGAGCUGGUGGCGUUCUGGGCCACGUUUCUGCUGCUGCAUCUAGGUGGCCAGGACAACAUCACCGCCUACUCCAUCGAUGACAACCGGCUGUGGCUGCGCCACCUGCAGAGUUUCGUUGUGCAGGUCCUCGCGGCCGCCUAUGUCCUCUACGAGUCAUCCAUCUUCGCAGGUGGCCAUCGGACCAUGCUCAGCCAGGCUACCAUCUUCAUGUUCGUUGUUGGUGUUGUCAAGUACGGGGAAAGAGUAUGGGCACUCAUGUCUGCCAGCAGCAGUGCCCUGUCUGGGAAGAACUACAACAGUUCUGGAAGCUGGGAGGACAUGUACCAUGUUGCUGAGAUCCAACUCUCGUUGAUGCACGACGUCUUCUACAGCGAAGCUGAGUUGAUCCACACUUGGUACGGGCACUGCAUCCGCCUCACCUCGCUGGCAGUCACUGCCACCGCACUGCGGCUGUUCCUUGGAUUAAGUGACAAAGAUGGUUUCAGCAAAGUAGAUCUCGUUGCCACUUAUGUUUUGCUCUCUGGAGCCGUCGUCCUGGAGAUCACAUCAGUGCUGAGGGCCAUGUCCUCCACCUGGAGGUACCCGCUUUUGGACCCCAUCAGCACUUCUCCUUGUUGUCGGCUUCCCAUUAAUCGUCCAUUGUAUUAUCAUUUUGACCUUCUAAUUAAAUCUGGGGAGCUCGUCAGAGGUGCAAUACAGAAAGUAGGAAUACUUAAGAGGUACUGGUCAGACUCCAUGGGGCAACACAACUUUAUUUACAUGUGCAGCCACUGUAAGGACAGCCGAAGCAGCAAAAUUGCGAGAUGGAUGGGACGAGAGGACUGGUGGAAUACACUGGUUUACACAUCCUCGUCUGUCCCCGUCUCGCUUGAUUUCAGCGAGCUGCUGAAGGAACAACUGUGGGAAAGUGUGGGCGUCAAGAAAGAGAACCCAAAUCACAUCCAAAACUCAAGGGGCCGGGCGGCGCUGAAGAAGAGGGGAUUCUGGCACGAGGCAGAACAUAAACGCCUGCCACAUCCUGCAAAGGUAACCCAGGAGCUCUUCAAUUACAUGAUGUUUUUGCUCCCAGCACGUCCCUACAUGCUGCCUGACAAUGCUAGUCGCCAAAGGUAUAUUGAACUGUGCAACAAGGUGAUCCAUCAUCUGAAAUACAGCUCGGCCGUGGAUUUGAUCAAGUUAAUACAGGGCCAUGGAGAUGCUGUCAACGCUGAACAAACUCAGCCUGCCGUUGUGGUGGAAAAUCUAGUAGUCGAUAUGCCUGCUGCUACAACCAAAGAGAGUAGUGUAACAUUUGACAGAGCAUGUCAGCUUGGCUCGAAGCUGAUUAGCAAAGAGCUGGAAACACCUGAUGCCAUUCUUGAUUUGAUCAGCCAAGUGUGGGUGGAGAUGCUUUGCUACACAGGAUACCGGUGCAGGCCAGAUUCUCAUGCCAGACAGCUGAGCAGUGGCGGCGAGAUCACCACCGUCGUUGCCAUUUUGAUGGAAUUCUUGAAAUCGGACUUUCUGAAGUUGGACAAACAGGAGCAGGUUGCUGAGUUGGGGAGCCCCUAA
rnacentral:rRNA from 1 species